UACGUAGGGCGCAAGCGUUGUCCGGAAUUAUUGGGCGUAAAGAGCUCGUAGGCGGCUUGUCGCGUCGUUCGUGAAAACUUGGGGCUCAACUCCAAGCUUGCGGUCGAUACGGGCAGGCUAGAGUUCGGUAGGGGAGACUGGAAUUCCUGGUGUAGCGGUGAAAUGCGCAGAUAUCAGGAGGAACACCGGUGGCGAAGGCGGGUCUCUGGGCCGAUACUGACGCUGAGAAGCGAAAGCAUGGGGAGCGAACAGG
rnacentral:rRNA from 1 species